rnacentral:rRNA from 1 species
UACAGAGGGGGCAAGCGUUAUUCGGAAUUAUUGGGCGUAAAGGGCGCGUAGGCGGCUUUGCAAGUGGCGGGUGAAAUCCCUCGGCUUAACCGAGGAACUGCCUGUCAAACUGCAUGGCUUGAGACCGGGAGAGGUGAGUGGAAUUCCCAGUGUAACGGUGAAAUGCGUAGAUAUUGGGAGGAACACCAGUGGCGAAGGCGGCUCACUGGACCGGUACUGACGCUGAUGCGCGAAAGCGUGGGGAGCAAACAGG